rnacentral:piRNA from 1 species
UAACAAUACUGGAUGGAUAUUUUAAAGGA